AGAGUUUGAUCAUGGCUCAGAUUGAACGCUGGCGGCAGGCCUAACACAUGCAAGUCGAACGGUAACAGGAAACAGCUUGCUGUUUCGCUGACGAGUGGCGGACGGGUGAGUAAUGUCUGGGAAACUGCCUGAUGGAGGGGGAUAACUACUGGAAACGGUAGCUAAUACCGCAUAACGUCGCAAGACCAAAGAGGGGGACCUUCGGGCCUCUUGCCAUCGGAUGUGCCCAGAUGGGAUUAGCUAGUAGGUGGGGUAAAGGCUCACCUAGGCGACGAUCCCUAGCUGGUCUGAGAGGAUGACCAGCCACACUGGAACUGAGACACGGUCCAGACUCCUACGGGAGGCAGCAGUGGGGAAUAUUGCACAAUGGGCGCAAGCCUGAUGCAGCCAUGCCGCGUGUAUGAAGAAGGCCUUCGGGUUGUAAAGUACUUUCAGCGGGGAGGAAGGGAGUAAAGUUAAUACCUUUGCUCAUUGACGUUACCCGCAGAAGAAGCACCGGCUAACUCCGUGCCAGCAGCCGCGGUAAUACGGAGGGUGCAAGCGUUAAUCGGAAUUACUGGGCGUAAAGCGCACGCAGGCGGUUUGUUAAGUCAGAUGUGAAAUCCCCGGGCUCAACCUGGGAACUGCAUCUGAUACUGGCAAGCUUGAGUCUCGUAGAGGGGGGUAGAAUUCCAGGUGUAGCGGUGAAAUGCGUAGAGAUCUGGAGGAAUACCGGUGGCGAAGGCGGCCCCCUGGACGAAGACUGACGCUCAGGUGCGAAAGCGUGGGGAGCAAACAGGAUUAGAUACCCUGGUAGUCCACGCCGUAAACGAUGUCGACUUGGAGGUUGUGCCCUUGAGGCGUGGCUUCCGGAGCUAACGCGUUAAGUCGACCGCCUGGGGAGUACGGCCGCAAGGUUAAAACUCAAAUGAAUUGACGGGGGCCCGCACAAGCGGUGGAGCAUGUGGUUUAAUUCGAUGCAACGCGAAGAACCUUACCUGGUCUUGACAUCCACGGAAGUUUUCAGAGAUGAGAAUGUGCCUUCGGGAACCGUGAGACAGGUGCUGCAUGGCUGUCGUCAGCUCGUGUUGUGAAAUGUUGGGUUAAGUCCCGCAACGAGCGCAACCCUUAUCCUUUGUUGCCAGCGGUCCGGCCGGGAACUCAAAGGAGACUGCCAGUGAUAAACUGGAGGAAGGUGGGGAUGACGUCAAGUCAUCAUGGCCCUUACGACCAGGGCUACACACGUGCUACAAUGGCGCAUACAAAGAGAAGCGAUCUCGCGAGAGCAAGCGGACCUCAUAAAGUGCGUCGUAGUCCGGAUUGGAGUCUGCAACUCGACUCCAUGAAGUCGGAAUCGCUAGUAAUCGUGGAUCAGAAUGCCACGGUGAAUACGUUCCCGGGCCUUGUACACACCGCCCGUCACACCAUGGGAGUGGGUUGCAAAAGAAGUAGGUAGCUUAACCUUCGGGAGGGCGCUUACCACUUUGUGAUUCAUGACUGGGGUGAAGUCGUAACAAGGUAACCGUAGGGGAACCUGCGGUUG
rnacentral:rRNA from 1 species